GACGAACGCUGGCGGCGUGCCUAAUACAUGCAAGUCGAACGCAUUUUCUUUCACCGUAGCUUGCUACACCGAAAGAAAAUGAGUGGCGAACGGGUGAGUAACACGUGGGUAACCUGCCCAUCAGCGGGGGAUAACACUUGGAAACAGGUGCUAAUACCGCAUAAUUCCAUUUACUGCAUGGUAGAUGGAUGAAAGGCGCUUUUGCGUCACUGAUGGAUGGACCCGGGGUGCAUUAGCUAGUUGGUGGGGUAACGGCCUACCAAGGCUGCGAUGCAUAGCCGACCUGAGAGGGUGAUCGGCCACACUGGGACUGAGACACGGCCCAGACUCCUACGGGAGGCAGCAGUAGGGAAUCUUCGGCAAUGGACGCAAGUCUGACCGAGCAACGCCGCGUGAGUGAAGAAGGUUUUCGGAUCGUAAAACUCUGUUGUUAGAAAAGAACAAGGAUGAGAGUGGAAAGUUCAUCCCUUGACGGUAUCUAACCAGAAAGCCACGGCUAACUACGUGCCAGCCGCCGCAGUAA
rnacentral:rRNA from 1 species